rnacentral:rRNA from 1 species
UACGUAGGGUGCGAGCGUUAAUCGGAAUUACUGGGCGUAAAGCGUGCGCAGGCGGUCUGUUAAGACCGAUGUGAAAUCCCCGGGCUUAACCUGGGAAUUGCAUUGGUGACUGGCAGGCUUUGAGUGUGGCAGAGGGAGGUAGAAUUCCACGUGUAGCAGUGAAAUGCGUAGAGAUGUGGAGGAAUACCGAUGGCGAAGGCAGCCUCCUGGGCCAACACUGACGCUCAUGCACGAAAGCGUGGGGAGCAAACAGG